GAGUUUGAAUCAUGGCUCAGGAUGAACGCUGGCGGCGUGCUUAACACAUGCAAGUCGAACGAUGAUCCCCAGCUUGCAUCGGGGAUUAGUGGCGAACGGGUGAGUAACACGUGAGUAACCUGCCCUUAACUCUGGGAUAAGCCUGGGAAACUGGGUCUAAUACCGGAUAUGACUCCUCAUCGCAUGGUGGGGGGUGGAAAGCUUUUGUGGUUUUGGAUGGACUCGCGGCCUAUCAGCUUGUUGGUGAGGUAAUGGCUCACCAAGGCGACGACGGGUAGCCGGCCUGAGAGGGUGACCGGCCACACUGGGACUGAGACACGGCCCAGACUCCUACGGGAGGCAGCAGUGGGGAAUAUUGCACAAUGGGCGGAAGCCUGAUGCAGCGACGCCGCGUGAGGGAUGACGGCCUUCGGGUUGUAAACCUCUUUCAGUAGGGAAGAAGCGAGAGUGACGGUACCUGCAGAAGAAGCGCCGGCUAACUACGUGCCAGCAGCCGCGGUAAUACGUAGGGCGCAAGCGUUAUCCGGAAUUAUUGGGCGUAAAGAGCUCGUAGGCGGUUUGUCGCGUCUGCCGUGAAAGUCCGGGGCUCAACUCCGGAUCUGCGGUGGGUACGGGCAGACUAGAGUGAUGUAGGGGAGACUGGAAUUCCUGGUGUAGCGGUGAAAUGCGCAGAUAUCAGGAGGAACACCGAUGGCGAAGGCAGGUCUCUGGGCAUUAA
rnacentral:rRNA from 1 species